ACGCUGGCGGCGUGCUUAACACAUGCAAGUCGAACGAGAGCGUAGAGAAAGCUUGCUUUUUCUACAAUCUAGUGGCAAACGGGUGAGUAACGCGUAAACAACCUGCCCUACGGAUGGGGACAACAGCUGGAAACGGCUGCUAAUACUGAAUACGUUCCGAAAGUCGCAUGACUAUCGGAAGAAAGGAUGGCCUCUAUUUAUAAGCUAUCGCCGGAGGAGGGGUUUGCGUCUGAUUAGCUAGUUGGAGGGGUAACGGCCCACCAAGGCGACGAUCAGUAGCCGGUCUGAGAGGAUGAACGGCCACAUUGGAACUGAGACACGGUCCAGACUCCUACGGGAGGCAGCAGUGGGGAAUCUUCCGCAAUGGGCGAAAGCCUGACGGAGCAACGCCGCGCGAGUGAAGACGGCCUUCGGGUUGUAAAGCUCUGUUAUACGGGACGAAUAAUCUUGUGGUUAAUACCCAUAAGAAGUGACGGUACCGUAAGAGAAAGCCACGGCUAACUACGUGCCAGCAGCCGCGGUAAUACGUAGGUGGCAAGCGUUGUCCGGAAUUAUUGGGCGUAAAGGGCGCGCAGGCGGCUUCUUAAGUCUGUCUUAAAAGUGCGGGGCUUAACCCCGUGAUGGGGUGGAAACUGGGAAGCUCAGAGUAUCGGAGAGGAAAGCGGAAUUCCUAGUGUAGCGGUGAAAUGCGUAGAUAUUAGGAGGAACACCAGUGGCGAAAGCGGCUUUUCUGGACGAAAACUGACGCUGAGGCGCGAAAGCCAGGGGAGCGAACGGGAUUAGAUACCCCGGUAGUCCUGGCCGUAAACGAUGGGUACUAGGUGUAGGAGGUAUCGACCCCUUCUGUGCCGGAUUUAACGCAAUAAGUACCCCGCCUGGGGAGUACGGCCGCAAGGUUGAAACUC
rnacentral:rRNA from 1 species